CCUACGGGAGGCAGCAGUGGGGAAUAUUGGGCAAUGGAGGCAACUCUGACCCAGCAACGCCGCGUGAGCGAUGAAGGUCUUCGGAUUGUAAAGCUCUUUAAGUGGGGACGAAGAAAGUGACUGUACCCACAGAAUAAGCCUCGGCUAACUACGUGCCAGCAGCCGCGGUAAUACGUAGGAGGCAAGCGUUAUCCGGAAUGACUGGGCGUAAAGGGUGCGUAGGUGGUUUGGCAAGUUGGUAGCGUAAUUCCGGGGCUCAACCUCGGAUCUACUACCAAAACUGUCGGGCUUGAGUGCAGGAGGGGUAAAUGGAAUUCCUAGUGUAGCGGUGGAAUGCGUAGAGAUUAGGAAGAACACCAGCGGCGAAGGCGAUUUACUGGACUGUAACUGACACUGAGGCACGAAAGCGUGGGGAGCAAACAGGAUUAGAUACCCGGGUAGUC
rnacentral:rRNA from 1 species